AGUGGACGCUGGCGGUAGGCCUAACACAUGCAAGUCGAACGGCAGCACAGUAAGAGCUUGCUCUUACGGGUGGCGAGUGGCGGACGGGUGAGGAAUACAUUGGAAUCUACUUUUUCGUGGGGGAUAACGUAGGGAAACUUACGCUAAUACCGCAUACGACCUACGGGUGAAAGCAGGGGAUCUUCGGACCUUGCGCGAUUGAAUGAGCCGAUGUCGGAUUAGCUAGUUGGCGGGGUAAAGGCCCACCAAGGCGACGAUCCGUAGCUGGUCUGAGAGGAUGAUCAGCCACACUGGAACUGAGACACGGUCCAGACUCCUACGGGAGGCAGCAGUGGGGAAUAUUGGACAAUGGGCGCAAGCCUGAUCCAGCCAUACCGCGUGGGUGAAGAAGGCCUUCGGGUUGUAAAGCCCUUUUGUUGGGAAAGAAAAGCAGCAGGUUAAUACCCCGCUGUUCUGACGGUACCCAAAGAAUAAGCACCGGCUAACUUCGUG
rnacentral:rRNA from 1 species